CCCAGGCUGACUUUUUACUGGCUGUGGUUGUCUUUGUGAUGACAAUGUUGAGACCGAUCUCCUUCCACCCACACUCAUUAAGUGAGAUUGGCGGCAUCAUAACUUCGCCUGCUUUCAAUGCUGGAAGGCAAUUGGACGCUUGUGAUGAAGGCUACUUGGUUCAGCCCAAUCGACAUGCUCACAGUAGAUGCCCCCGUAGAGAGGAUACACCGAAAAGAAAGAUGUGGAGGGGUGUUACUGCUGACAAUGGGAUGGAGAAAUGGAGACGGUGGAAGAGGAAGAUGGAACCAUAAAAGGCUGUCUCGGUGAGAAAAGGUUCAUCAUUUUGCUCUCCAUUUCAUCUCACGGUGCUAUAAAAGAGAGAUGAAAUCAGAAGGCUGUCAGGUAAAGGAGAGUAAAACCUUUUGCCUCGUCGCUGAAAUGGACCGAGGAGAGAAAUGGAGAGGUAGAGCGCCCUGCUUCACUUCUCCUUCACAGCAAAAGCUCUUGACUGUCAAGAGAACAAAAACACCUUGCAUCAGGGUUUUACAGGCCGAGUCUUUCAAAGUGGUUUGAAGCCUUUAUUGGAGCACAGUCAGCUUUUAGCAGAGAUUCAGGGGGAAAUGUUCUUUAUGAACUGGGUUAAAUGGCGACAUACAAAGAAGGGCCAUUUUUUUUUAUUUCCAAACGAUUCUGAAAUGCAAGAAAAUCGAGAUAAACCGGUUAUUGUGCCACAGUGAUGAUGUCGCAGUGAUGCUCUCAUUUUGUCUCAUGUUAUAAAUCCAGCACACCCCUUUCCUUCACAGCUGUGUGCUUUCACUGCUCCCUAAAAGGCCAAACUCCCCGUCAGCCAGGCAGUGGCAUGUGUAGUUCAGCUCAAGAUGACGGAGAGAGACUCGUUGGUCGACAGUCGUGUUAAAUAAUUGUAAUCUCAGUAUUGACCAAAAUAAUUAUGAUCGCAUGGUUUUUUUGCCCUAAUUUAAUGUAUGUAUUAUCCUUUCUCCUGUCGAGGUGAAAACCACAGCAGGACUGGUUUGCUCUGAUAUAACCAACCAGUUGAGAUUUCUAUCAACCACCUGGUGUUAAAUGAUAAUUUGAGGCAUGUCUUAAAACAAUACUUAGACAUAUGUACAUUGAAACAUACCGUUUGUACUGACUGGGAAGAAAUCCCCUUUCAUUGUUGUCAAUGUGCAUAAUGGAAGAAUAAUUCCACAGUUUGGUUUGCUGUUCUCCACCACAAAAGUUUAACCAAAUGUAAUUUGAGGCUUCAACAAUUGCAAUGAGUCAAAUUAAGUAGAUGUCUUCCAAGUGUUUUUUUUUAAUUUUGCAUUAAAAC
rnacentral:lncRNA from 1 species